AAAAAAAUCAAUUGAUAUAUUCAUUAAGACAUAUUUUAAAAUAAAUAGGUGUACGCACAAAUUUCGUAAAUUGAUCUUGCAAAAUUAGUAAAACAAAUAGGAAAAUAAUGCAAACAAAAUAUUUAUUGAAAUUAAAAAUAUAGUGGGUACAAUCUCAAAAAAAUAAUAUUCUUUCCAAAAUAAUAUUUUCCCUCUGAUUCUUU
rnacentral:lncRNA from 1 species